AGGCAUACAAGAGAGCUCAGUUGGUCAUGAUACUAAAAUGAUAGUUGCUGCAUCAGAAUGUGGGACUGAAAUAUCAAUUUCAUCCACACUGGACUCACCAGAUAGAUCAGAAGGUGAUGGUGGGGAGAUCGUGAUGGAGAUUGGAGCUCUGGAAAAUAGAAACUAUGUCACUGGCAAAGCUGAUAAAGACUCCAAUAUUGUCCAUUCUGAGGUAAAAAGUGCACCUGAGGUAGAAGCCCAGCCGCAGAAGGAAGUAGAACAGAAUGGCCAUGUUCCUGCCCUUGAAAUAGAAGCCCAG
rnacentral:lncRNA from 1 species